GAGUUUGAUCCUGGCUCAGGAUGAACGCUGGCGGCGUGCCUAACACAUGCAAGUCGAGCGAAGCACUUUGCUUUGAAUCUUUCGGGAGGACGAGUGAUUUGACUGAGCGGCGGACGGGUGAGUAACGCGUGGGUAACCUGCCUCACUCAGGGGGAUAACAGUUAGAAAUGGCUGCUAAUACCGCAUAAGACCACAGCACCGCAUGGUGCAGGGGUAAAAACUCCGGUGGUGUGAGAUGAGCCCGCGUCUGAUUAGCUAGUUGGCAGGGUAAAGGCCUACCAAGGCGACGAUCAGUAGCCGACCUGAGAGGGUGACCGGCCACAUUGGGACUGAGACACGG
rnacentral:rRNA from 1 species